AUUCUUUCUGGAGUUAUUUCUCCACUGAUCUCCAGUAGCAUAUUGGGCACCUACUGACCUGGGGAGUUCUUCUUUCAGUGUCCUAUCAUUUUGCCUUUUCAUACUGUUCAUGGGGUUCUCAAGGCAAGAAUACUGAAGAUACCCCACGUCCAAGGUAAGAGAAACCCAAGUAAGAUGGUAGGUGUUGCAAGAGGGCAUCAGAGGGCAGACACACUGAAACCAUAAUCACAGAAAACUAGCCAAUCUGAUCACACGGACCACAGCCUUGUCUAACUCAAUGAAACUAAGCCAUGCCAGUAGGGCCACCCAAGACGGGUGGGUCUUGGUGGAGAGGGCUGACAGAAUGUGGUGCACUGGAGAAGAGAAUGGCAAACUACUUCAGUAUUCUUGCCUUGAGAACUCCAUGAACAGUAUGAAAAGGAUCUGGCUUAGAAUCCAAAAUCCAGGUAUAUGUGGCAGAAAUGGAGUCUAACCAAGGAAUGGGGUGGUAGGGACUCUGUGUCUCAAUGGAAUUUGGUGAGUCACUUCAUUUUGAUAGCCUCAGAAACAAAGAAACUGUCUCUGCCAAAGAUGAUGGUAGCUAUCACAAAGCAUUAACACAGAGUUGGUUAAAAUGGGGUUGGAUGAAAUAUUAACAAAGUCUUUAAAGUAUGGUGUCUGGUAUUCAGUACAUUUAAAUUCCUUUUCCUUUUUGUCUGAACUCAACCCCUGUAGUCUUGCCUUUCCACACAAUGACUAAGGCAGUGUGUAAUCACUGUGUACACCUCACCAUUCUUAGGUUCCAGAAGAUAAAUAGAGAAGUACAAGAUGCCAUCCUUCCUUUAAACAAGUUUCAAUGAAGGUGGGGAAAUGCUUCCUGUACUCAAUAAGAACUUAAUCCUACAAGCAUGAAAAUAACUCAACUGAAUGGGACCAAGUCCAGACCAUUGUUGGUCAGCAAAGGGGUGAUGGUAGGAGGUAGUAUCAUGCAGAUAGUGCCUAAGAGGACUUCCCUGGUUAUCCAGUGAAAGGUUUCUUGGGGCUAACAGCAUCCCAUCUGUGUCAUCUGGGCCCUCCAGAAAACAGAUGCUGAGACAGAUUUAGGAGUGUGAAAGGCUUACUGGGAUUAACACUUGUGAAAGGACAAAGGAGGAAAUUGGAUUAGGGCAGGGGAGCUGUCAGACCAUAACACGAUCUGACAAAGUCUCUGUCAGCCAGCAGGGAGCUCUGAGCAUGUGAGAAGAGGCCUGUGUCAGGCAGAACAGGACGGGACCUUGUGUCACAGUCUUGCACAGCCGCUGGAUGGGGCCAUCCGAGAAGCCCACCAUCUCAGCUCAAGUUGAGGCCAAUCGGAACCAGACACUGAUUUGAACUCCAAAGAGGAACAGCUGAUUCCUGAUGGUCUGUUUCCUCCUGGGUUUACUGCACAACAGGUGGUUCAAAUUGGAUAAUUUGCGGGUGCCCAGUCUUCU
ensembl:lncRNA